rnacentral:rRNA from 1 species
GACGAACGCUGGCGGCGUGCUUAACACAUGCAAGUCGAACGGACAAGCCCUGCUUUUGUGGGGUGCUCGAGUGGCGAACGGGUGAGUAACACGUGAGUAACCUGCCCUUGUCUUUGGGAUAACUUCAGGAAACUGGGGCUAAUACCGGAUAGGAGCUCCUGCUGCAUGGUGGGGGUUGGAAAGUUUCGGCGGUUGGGGAUGGACUCGCGGCUUAUCAGCUUGUUGGUGGGGUAGUGGCUUACCAAGGCUUUGACGGGUAGCCGGCCUGAGAGGGUGACCGGGCACAUUGGGACUGAGAUACGGCCCAGACUCCUACGGGAGGCAGCAGUGGGGAAUAUUGCACAAUGGGCGGAAGUCUGAUGCAGAAACGCCGCGUGCGGGAUGACGGCCUUCGGGUUGUAAACCGCUUUCGCCUGUGACGAAGCGUGAGUGACGGUAAUGGGUAAAGAAGCACCGGCUAACUACGUG